CGCAUGCGCAUGCCCUCGCUCUCCCUGCACGGCAUCGAGGGUGCGUUCUCGGGGCCCGGCGCGAAGACCGUCAUCCCCGCAACCGUCUCCGGCAAGUUCUCCAUCCGGAUCGUGCCGCCCCAGACGCCCGAGCUCAUCGAGCCGCUCGUGUUCCAGUACGUCGAGCAGGAGUUCGCGAAGCUGAACAGCAAGAACAAGCUCAAGAUCGAGAACCUGCACGAUGGCAAACCGUGGGUCGCGGACCACAAGCACUGGAACUACGAGGCGGCGAGCCGCGCUGUUCAGGCUGUAUACGGCCGUGAGCCAGAUUUG
rnacentral:misc_RNA from 1 species